GUUGUAGCCGUCAGAUUUAGGGGAUGAUAGAUCAAUAAUAACCGUUGGAUUAAGUGGUGGUAUAUAAGCAAACAUUAUAGGGCUAGGGUUUCUAUUCUCAAUUUCGUUUCUUUUUUUCUUUCCGUCUCUCCUCUGUCUCUGAGAAGGAGAAUAAGUGAAGAACUCUGUUGGAUUACUCCUCUGUCUCGUUGAUUGAUAUUGGUUUAUGUCUCAAUUCUUACUAAGAGGUAAUCUUGAUUAGUUGCUGAAAUUUGUUAUUGGACUAGAGACAGGCUAAGGAAGCCAAUACAACUUGAUCUUCUAUCUGAUUACAUACCAGAUGAUGAUGUUGAACUUGAAGAAGCGUUACUUGGUCCUAUCAACAAUAAUGCCACCACCACAAGUGCUACUGACAUGGAUUAGAAGAUCAAGAUUCAAGACUUUGUAUUUGUCAUUGCCACCACUGUCCAGUCAUUGCUAUUGAAGCUCUAGCUGCAUUGCUAGUUGUUCUUUUUUCAGAUUUUCUCAUUUUCAAGACUUAGUGUAUGUGUUCGUGUGCUACUGCCUACUGCUACUUGUUCUUUUUCUGGAUUUUCAAGACUUUAGUGUGUGUGUUUGUCACUUUGGUUUGCUAGUAUUAUUGCUACUUAUUAGUUGAUGCUUUGUUCUUUGAUUGAGAUAUUACUUAAUAUAUUGAAA